rnacentral:rRNA from 1 species
GAUGAACGCUGGCGGCGUGCCUAAUACAUGCAAGUCGAGCGAACAGGCGAUGAGCUUGCGGCUCUGACGUGAGCGGCAGACGUGAGAGUAACACGUGUAUAACCUACCUAUAAGACUGGUAUAUUUUCGGAAAAGGGGAGCUAAUACCGUAGAAGAUAUUGAACCGCAUGGGUCGAUAGUGAAAGACGGUGGUUGUGGCACUAAUAGAGGGAUCUGCGCCGGAUUAGAUAGUUGGUAAGGUAACGGCUUAUCAAGGCUACGAGGCGUAAGCGACCUGAGAGGGUGAUAGCCCACCUGGGAAGUGGACCAGGGUCAAGACUCCUGAGGGAGGGCGCAGUAGGCAAUCUUACGCAAUAGGCGAAAGCAUGACGGAGUGACGCCGCGUGAGUGAUGACGGUCUUCGGAUCGUAAAACUCUGUUAUUAGGGGAGAACAAAUGUGUAAGUAACUAUGCACGUAUUGACGGUACCUAAUCAGAAAGCAACGGCUAACUACGUG